GGGCAUAAGUUACAAGAACAUUCUGUAGUAUUAGUAAGAGGGGGAAGGGUUAAGGAUUUACCCGGUAUGAGAUAUUGCAUUAUUCGAGGAACCCUCAAUGUUGUCGCAGUAAAGAAUCAUCUACACGGGCGUUCUUGA
rnacentral:rRNA from 1 species